rnacentral:lncRNA from 1 species
UUUGUAUAAAGUAAAGAAAACUCCAAGUUACAACCAUAUUAAACCUUAAACAACCACUCAAAGCUAUCAGGGUCGAGAGGGGAGAGGCUUAUACUUAUAAAGGGCUAAUGGAUAAGAUGAAGGCUUGGGGUUGUGAAGGGGACGGGGGAUGGUCAGAAGAUGUAGGGCAAGGCUGGCACUGUGCUCGUGUCAUCAGGCAAUAUAGGUGAGGAAGCAGGUUGCUGAAAUAGGAUUGACAGGUUGCUCUUCGGCUGGGAGAUAUGUGGCGUGGGCUCAUAUGGGCAGGAGACAAGGAUUGUUCUUGUGAAAUGGUUAGAGGCCCUGAAGGAGUCUAAUGUGUUAAUGCCUUGG